CACAACCCCCGAACCUGUGGGGCGGAGUUACCUAAUCUCGUCUUAAUUGGCGAGAUUUGUUGUAAAGUUUCAGUGUUGUGAGGUGGUUGUGAAAUCGGUACCUUGGUCUGGAACAAGGUGCUUUCUGCCAUCACGUGAAGUAAGAUUCAAUGAAAUAUCAUCAGAUUGCACGCUACAACAUCCCAGAAGUCAGCCAUCUUCGGAUUUGUGUGUGGUACUCAUGUUGAUACUUAAAAAGAAAUUAUAUCAUAUGAAAUUCA